UGGGGAAUUUUCCGCAAUGGGGGCAACCCUGACGGAGCAAGACCGCGUGAGGGAGGAAGGCCCUAGGGUUGUAAACCGCUUUCAGGAGGGAAGAAAAUGACGGUACCUCCAGAAGAAGGUGCGGCCAACUACGUGCCAGCAGCCGCGGUAACACGUAGGCACCAAGCGUUAUCCGGAUUUAUUGGGCGUAAAGAGCUCGUAGGCGGUUCAGUCAGUCGGGUGUGAAAACUCAAGGCUUAACCUUGAGAUGUCACCCGAUACUGCUGUGACUAGAGUGCGGUAGGGGAGCGGGGAAUUCCUGGUGUAGCGGUGAAAUGCGCAGAUAUCAGGAGGAACACCAGUGGCGAAGGCGCCGCUCUGGGCCGUAACUGACGCUGAGGAGCGAAAGCAUGGGUAGCAAACAGGAUUAGAUACCCCUGUAGUCC
rnacentral:rRNA from 1 species